UACAGAGGGGGCAAGCGUUGUUCGGAAUUACUGGGCGUAAAGGGCGCGUAGGCGGCCUUCUAAGUCAGACGUGAAAUCCCCGGGCUCAACCCGGGAACUGCGUCUGAUACUGGAAGGCUUGAAUCCGGGAGAGGGAUGUGGAAUUCCGAGUGUAGAGGUGAAAUUCGUAGAUAUUCGGAAGAACACCAGUGGCGAAGGCGACUCACUGGACGACUGUUGACGCUGAGGUGCGAAAGCGUGGGGAGCAAACAGG
rnacentral:rRNA from 1 species